CCCAAUCUAACAUUACGACUUUCCAUUGCAAAAGAUGGAUGCAUCCUAUCAAAGUGUUUCCAUGCAGGAGCAGUGUUGCAUCACACCUUCCUCAACUUCAUGCUCGGCGUGCCAUCGCAUGUGUGAGGCAGUCGCUUCAGAAGCAUAUAGUCGUUGCAACCGUGGAGUAAGAGGAAAGUAAUACAUCUAUUUGAAUGGUAUAAGAUUUCUCUUUGAAUUAGAACCUUGACCACUAGUCUUGUAUCUGGGAUGACUACAAAACUUGCAAUACAAAAGUUCACUGUCCACUCCCCAAUAAAUCAUGCACGCAUUAGUACAACUAUGAAUUUUUUCUACUGGCAUGUUCAUUCCCCACAUCAACUUCUUAGUUUCAUAGAAAUUUUUGGACAUCAGGUAUCGGCGGAAUUAGCGCAUUCAAAAAUUGAAAAAUGUCAUCAAAACAUCUUUCAGAGAGGUGGUGUUCAGUCUUGAUGAAACAUGAAACAACUGAUAAUUGAGAAUGUGUUUCACAACCAGGCCACACUUCUUGAUUCGCAGCAUCAAUCAUAUCAUAAAAUUUAUGUGCAUCAGGGUUAGGUAAUUCAUCCCGAUCAUUCAGAUCUAAUGAGGGACCAACAGCCUCCUGAACCAUUCUAUGAUAUGAAGUAGAUGGUCCACUCUCAUCAUAUGCAUCAACAGUAACUGGUGAGUUAUUCAUAGUAUGAUCCAAAUUGUGCAUCCUUUCAUGUUCAUCUGUACUUGUAACCUCACUUUCUCCAUGCAAGUACCAAACAUGAUAUCUCAAGACAAAACCAUUACCCAACAAAUGUCCAUGGACUGCAUGAACAUCUUCAAAGUUUCUAUUCUAACAUAUCUUUCGGUUGCAUGGGAACAUUAGUCUCUCACCAUCCCU
rnacentral:lncRNA from 1 species